rfam:Leptosomus discolor contig54616, whole genome shotgun sequence.
CUAGGAGAACCGAAAACAGUUCUAGACUGACCUGCGGUUUUAUAGCACUUUGGCAGUCAACUUCAGCUUGUGUCAGAGCAGACAUGACAGAGCUGCCCAGCGCUUAAUCGCGAGACGCUACCUUCUCGGACUCACUACAGCCCCCCUCUUGCAUUUCAAUAAAUUUCAAACCUUGGGGCUAGAAAUGGGGAGCAGAGCUG